UCAGGGACCCAAGCAAAGCAGCAGAGGUUGGAGAGGGAAGGAGCCAGGAGCCAGCAUCAGGAAGCAGGUGUCCCCUGCUACUUGCUACUUCUUGUCUCCUUGUUAAGAGAACCUGACUGACCAUUCUUCAUCGAAGUAAACUCUCAAGCAUACAGCCAUAUUUUACAUCAGUGUCUGAUCAGUUCAUUCAUCAUUGAUCCCAAACAUGGGGGGACUGGCCAUAGACCCUACAGGGAAAUUUACCAAUGGGCGAAUGCCCAGAGGACCACCCAAACCCUUUUGGCUACUAGCCAGUCCCCAAAUGCAUGAACGGAAGAAGAGAGAAAGAAAAAGAAAAAACGUGGGGGAAGGGAAUAAUCCCAAUUCUAUUGUAUUUACUAUCAUCC